ACGGGUGAGUAACACGUGAGCAACCUGCCCUUGGCUCUGGGAUAAGCCCGGGAAACUGGGUCUAAUACCGGAUACGACCAUUCCAGGAUUCUGGUGGUGGUGGAAAGUUUUUCGGCUGGGGAUGGGCUCGCGGCCUAUCAGCUUGUUGGUGGGGUAGUGGCCUACCAAGGCGACGACGGGUAGCCGGCCUGAGAGGGCGACCGGCCACACUGGGACUGAGACACGGCCCAGACUCCUACGGGAGGCAGCAGAGGGGAAUAUUGCACAAUGGGCGGAAGCCUGAUGCAGCGACGCCGCGUGCGGGAUGAAGGCCUUCGGGUUGUAAACCGCUUUCAGCAGGGACGAAUCAAGACGGUACCUGCAGAAGAAGCGCCGGCUAACUACGUGCAGCAGCCGCGGUAAUACGUAGGGCGCAAGCGUUGUCCGGAAUUAUUGGGCGUAAAGAGCUCGUAGGCGGUUUGUCGCGUCUGUUGUGAAAGCCCGGGGCUUAACCCCGGGUCUGCAGUGGAUACGGGCAGGCUAGAGGCAGGUAGGGGAGAACGGAAUUCCCGGUGUAGCGGUGAAAUGCGCAGA
rnacentral:rRNA from 1 species